UACGUAGGGCGCAAGCGUUGUCCGGAAUUAUUGGGCGUAAAGAGCUCGUAGGCGGUUUGUCGCGUCUGCUGUGAAAACUCGGGGCUUAACUCCGGGCCUGCAGUGGGUACGGGCAGACUAGAGUGCGGUAGGGGAGACUGGAAUUCCUGGUGUAGCGGUGGAAUGCGCAGAUAUCAGGAGGAACACCGAUGGCGAAGGCAGUUCUCUGGGCCGAUACUGACGCUGAGGAGCGAAAGCGUGGGGAGCGAACAGG
rnacentral:rRNA from 1 species